rnacentral:piRNA from 1 species
UCCAAGAAAAUGAGCCUGGUGGAGCAA